GAAAGCCUGCUAAACAAUGCAAGAAAAAAAGAGGAAAGAAACUGUUAAUAAAAACCCACUUAACUUCCACUAACGAGCUCAACAAUGUAUAUCUAUCCCAAGAAAAUACGAGCAGGACUACAUCUCCAACUCAUCUAUGAAAGGCUGAAAACCAAUCACCACCAUUAAGGGCCUGCAAUUCUAUAGACAGCAACUCAUUUAUUCCUGCAGCAACCUGCUACAGCCUACAGCCAGGCAAAGGUGAUAGAGUAAGAUAUGUGGGUCCACUACAUUCAUCUGGAUUUCCUCCUCUUCAUGCUUCUCAAAGAAGCCUCUCAAGAAGGAAGCAAAGAAAGCAACAGCUGCUCCUAGGGCAUCUUCUUCUAAGAGGAAAUCUAAGGAUGGAGAUGAAAAUGGUUCAAAGAAGAGAGAACCAAAGAAGAAAAAGUAUCCUAAUGCACCAAAG